GUACGUCUUCUGACAGACCUGGAGCAGUUAUAUCUGCUGCUAAGGUUUCCACUACAGAUGCAAGAACAAAGUGUUCUCACGCUUUCUAUCUGUCUGAUUGUGGUGGCCAAGAUAGAAAGGGGGAACAGAGGA